rnacentral:lncRNA from 1 species
CGCAGGCUUCUCACGGGGAGGACAUCGGCUGAGCGCACAGCCCGCGAGCCUGCUCAGAACCUGUCCAUACCGGAGCCUGCAGACCUAGGACAGCCGGGGAACUCGAGGAGUGCUCGGCGGAGGCUGCUCUGCUGAAGGUGAAUCACCGCGUCCAAUUGCCUUUCCCUAGAGAACCCGGGGGAGGGCAGGAGAGGGGGAACGUGUGAGCGCGCGUUUGUGUGCAAGGGAGAGACGACGCGGGGCGAGAGGAAAAGUCCUCGCUCGCCGCUCAAAGCAAACAAAUCGGAGAUGGAAUAAGAGCGGCGGUUGCUGGAGCCCGCCUGGAUCCUCGCAGUCGCGGGAGCCGAGCGCACCGCGCGCAGCGCAUCGCCGGGGACAGCGGGAGACCGCGGGCGCCGCCGGGGGUUUUGGGGACUUUGGCUCUCCCCCUCGGUCAACAAACCUUCUGAUUACUUUGACACUGUGGGAUAAAGAGCAGAGCCUAGGGACCGGCCUCGCGCGCUGCAUCUUCCUUUGGCUUCGGGGAGGGAGGACCCUGUAUGUGAAGACACUGCCGAGCCCCCUUUAGCCUUCGGAGGAGGCGGAACUCACGCGCACGCAGGGCCACACUCGCUCGCCCUCCGCGAGCACACACCGGUGGACUUCAGGUCCCUAUGCCCCUGGAUGGUGCCAGAGGACCGGCAUCUCGGAAGCGAUGCAGGAGCGGUGAGGCUGGCGUUGGCCCGCGGAAGCUACAGGACCAUCACUAGGUGCUGCCGCCACCGGGACGCCCGGCUGCAGG